AAAGGUUGGGCCUCGACCGGACCCGAAACCCCGGCCAAAGGGGAGGCACGGCCCCCGAAGGGAGUCGGUUGGUAACUGGGGUG
rnacentral:rRNA from 1 species